rnacentral:rRNA from 1 species
UGCUAGUCGCGCGGGUUAGACCCGCGGCAUAUAGCUCAGUAACACGUGGCCAAACUACCCUACAGACCGCGAUAACCUCGGGAAACUGAGGCCAAUAGCGGAUAUCACUCUCACGCUGGAGUGCCGAGAGUGAGAAACGUUCCGGCGCUGUAGGAUGUGGCUGCGGCCGAUUAGGUAGAUGGUGGGGUAAUGGCCCACCAUGCCCAUAAUCGGUACAGGUUGUGACAGCAAGAGCCUGGAGACGGUAUCUGAGACAAGAUACCGGGCCCUACGGGGCGCAGCAGGCGCGAAACCUUUACACUGCACGAGAGUGCGAUAGGGGGACUCCGAGUGCGAGGGCAUAUAGUCCUCGCUUUUCUGAACCGUAAGGUGGUUCAGGAACAAGUGCUGGGCAAGACCGGUGCCAGCCGCCGCGGUAAUACCGGCAGCACGAGUGAUGGCCGAUAUUAUUGGGCCUAAAGCGUCCGUAGCUUGCUGUGUAAGUCCAUUGGGAAAUCCACGCGCUCAACGCGUGGGCGUCCGGUGGAAACUGCACGGCUUGGGGCCGAGAGACUCAACGGGUACGUCCGGGGUAGGAGUGAAAUCCUGUAAUCCUGGACGGACCACCAAUGGGGAAACCACGUUGAGAGACCGGACCCGACAGUGAGGGACGAAAGCCAGGGUCUCGAACCGGAUUAGAUACCCGGGUAGUCCUGGCUGUAAACGAUGCUCGCUAGGUAUGUCACGCGCCAUGAGCGCCUGAUGUGCCGUAGUGAAGACGAUAAGCGAGCCGCCUGGGAAGUACGUCCGCAAGGAUGAAACUUAA